rnacentral:rRNA from 1 species
UUACGGCUCAGUAACACGUCGAUAAUCUGCCUUAGGUUGGGGAUAACCUCGGGAAACUGAGGACAAAACCAAUAGGAGACAAUUUCUGGAAGGAUUUCUCUCUUAAAAGCAAUGCCUAAGGAUGAGUCGGCGGCGGAUUAGGUAGUUGGCGGGGUAAAGGCCCACCAAGCCGAAGAUCCGUACGGGCCCUGAGAGGGGGAGCCCGGAGAAGGGCACUGAGAUACUGGCCCUAGCCCUACGGGGUGCAGCAGGCGCGAAAACUUUACACUGCACGUAAGUGUGAUAAGGGUAUUCCGAGUGCUUAUGCUUAGCAUAAGCUUUUGCCAAAGGCAAAAACUUUGGCGAAUAAGUGGUGGGUAAGACCGGUGCCAGCAGCCGCGGUAACCCCGGCGCCACGAGUGGGAAUCGAUUUAUUGGGUCUAAAGCGUCCGUAGCCGGCUUGGAAAAUCUUUUGUGAAAUUGCUAUGCUCAACGUAGCAACGUGCAGAAGACACUACUAAGCUCGGGACCGGGAGAGGUUUGGAGAAUGCCAAGGGGAGCGGUAAAAUGCUAUAAUCCUUGGUAGACUACCAGUGGCGAAGGCGCCAAACCAGAACGGAUCCGACGGUGAGGGUCGAAAGCUAGGGGAGCAAUCCGGAUUAGAUACCCGAGUAGUCCUAGCUGUAAACGCUGCGAGUUAGGUGUUGCGUAUUCCUCGUGAAUACGCAGUGUCGAAGUGAAGAUGGUAAA